CCUCCCAUGUUCGUAAAGAGCAUGGAGUGAUGUAUGAAAUACAUCCAAAAUCCUUUGAAUUGCUGGAAAUCCCUAAAGCUAACUAAACUACAACGUAAGGAUGAAAUAUGCCUAAGUGUGAUAGUUACGAAAGUAGAAAAAAUUAGUUAGAUGGCAUAAGGUUAAAUCCUAAAUGCUAAAACAAUGGGCAAUCAGCAGGUAAGCCUCGAAAAGAGGAAACUUCAACGACUAUCAUGUAAUGGGAGUACACUAUAAGCUAUUGGUAGUGGAGGACACCGAUUAGGUGAUAAUAUAGUCUACGCUCAUAUGAAAGUAUGAG
rnacentral:ncRNA from 1 species